rnacentral:tRNA from 1 species
GUGCCUGUGGCUCAAAGGAGUAGGGCACUGGCCCUGUAUACCAGAGGUGGUGGGUUCAAACCCAGCCCUGGCGCA